AAAUUGAAGAGUUUGAUCAUGGCUCAGAUUGAACGCUGGCGGCAGGCCUAACACAUGCAAGUCGAGCGGUAGCACAGAGAGCUUGCUCUCGGGUGACGAGCGGCGGACGGGUGAGUAAUGUCUGGGAAACUGCCUGAUGGAGGGGGAUAACUACUGGAAACGGUAGCUAAUACCGCAUAACGUCGCAAGACCAAAGUGGGGGACCUUCGGGCCUCAUGCCAUCAGAUGUGCCCAGAUGGGAUUAGCUAGUAGGUGGGGUAACGGCUCACCUAGGCGACGAUCCCUAGCUGGUCUGAGAGGAUGACCAGCCACACUGGAACUGAGACACGGUCCAGACUCCUACGGGAGGCAGCAGUGGGGAAUAUUGCACAAUGGGCGCAAGCCUGAUGCAGCCAUGCCGCGUGUGUGAAGAAGGCCUUCGGGUUGUAAAGCACUUUCAGCGGGGAGGAAGGCGGUAAGGUUAAUAACCUCACCGAUUGACGUUACCCGCAGAAGAAGCACCGGCUAACUCCGUGCCAGCAGCCGCGGUAAUACGGAGGGUGCAAGCGUUAAUCGGAAUUACUGGGCGUAAAGCGCACGCAGGCGGUCUGUCAAGUCGGAUGUGAAAUCCCCGGGCUCAACCUGGGAACUGCAUUCGAAACUGGCAGGCUAGAGUCUUGUAGAGGGGGGUAGAAUUCCAGGUGUAGCGGUGAAAUGCGUAGAGAUCUGGAGGAAUACCGGUGGCGAAGGCGGCCCCCUGGACAAAGACUGACGCUCAGGUGCGAAAGCGUGGGGAGCAAACAGGAUUAGAUACCCUGGUAGUCCACGCCGUAAACGAUGUCGAUUUGGAGGUUGUGCCCUUGAGGCGUGGCUUCCGGAGCUAACGCGUUAAAUCGACCGCCUGGGGAGUACGGCCGCAAGGUUAAAACUCAAAUGAAUUGACGGGGGCCCGCACAAGCGGUGGAGCAUGUGGUUUAAUUCGAUGCAACGCGAAGAACCUUACCUGGUCUUGACAUCCACAGAACUUUCCAGAGAUGGAUUGGUGCCUUCGGGAACUGUGAGACAGGUGCUGCAUGGCUGUCGUCAGCUCGUGUUGUGAAAUGUUGGGUUAAGUCCCGCAACGAGCGCAACCCUUAUCCUUUGUUGCCAGCGGUUCGGCCGGGAACUCAAAGGAGACUGCCAGUGAUAAACUGGAGGAAGGUGGGGAUGACGUCAAGUCAUCAUGGCCCUUACGACCAGGGCUACACACGUGCUACAAUGGCAUAUACAAAGAGAAGCGACCUCGCGAGAGCAAGCGGACCUCAUAAAGUAUGUCGUAGUCCGGAUUGGAGUCUGCAACUCGACUCCAUGAAGUCGGAAUCGCUAGUAAUCGUAGAUCAGAAUGCUACGGUGAAUACGUUCCCGGGCCUUGUACACACCGCCCGUCACACCAUGGGAGUGGGUUGCAAAAGAAGUAGGUAGCUUAACCUUCGGGAGGGCGCUUACCACUUUGUGAUUCAUGACUGGGGUGAAGUCGUAACAAGGUAACCGUAGGGGAACCUGCGGUUGGAUCACCUCCUUA
rnacentral:rRNA from 1 species